CAGCAGCCGCGGUAAUACGUAGGGUGCAAGCGUUAAUCGGAAUUACUGUGCGUAAAGCGUGCGCAGGCGGUUAUAUAAGACAGAUGUGAAAUCCCCGGGCUCAACCUGGGAACUGCAUUUGUGACUGUAUAGCUAGAGUACGGCAGAGGGGGAUGGAAUUCCGCGUGUAGCAGUGAAAUGCGUAGAUAUGCGGAGGAACACCGAUGGCGAAGGCAAUCCCCUGGGCCUGUACUGACGCUCAUGCACGAAAGCGUGGGGAGCAAACAGGAUUAGAUACCCGCGUAGUCCUGUCCUUAUACAC
rnacentral:rRNA from 1 species